AUUGAACGCUGGCGGCAGGCCUAACACAUGCAAGUCGAACGAGUGGCGGACGGGUGAGUAAUGUCUGGGAAACUGCCCGAUUGAGGGGGAUAACUACUGGAAACGGUAGCUAAUACCGCAUACCAUCGGAUUUGCCCAGAGUGGAUUAGCUAGUAGGUGGGGUAACGGCUCACCUAGGCGACGGUCCCUAGCUGGUCUGAGAGGAUGAACAGCAAAACUGGAACUGAUAAACGGUCCAGACUCCUACGGGAGGCAGCAGUGGGGACUAUUGCACAAUGGGCGCAAGCCUGAUACAGCCAUGCCGCGUGUAUGAAGAAGGCCUUCGGGUUGUAAAGUACGUUCAGCGAGGAGGCGUUACUCGCAGAAGAAGCACCGGCUAACUCCGUGCCAGCAGCCGCGGUAAUAC
rnacentral:rRNA from 1 species